rnacentral:rRNA from 1 species
ACGAACGCUGGCGGCAUGCCUAACCCAUGCAAGUCGCACGAAGGCUUCGGCCUUAGUGGCGCACGGGUGCGUAACGCGUGGGAAUCUGCCCUUUGGUUCGGAAUAACAGCUGGAAACGGCUGCUAAUACCGGAUGAUGACGAAAGUCCAAAGAUUUAUCGCCAGAGGAUGAGCCCGCGUUGGAUUAGGUAGUUGGUGGGGUAAAGGCCUACCAAGCCGACGAUCCAUAGCUGGUCUGAGAGGAUGAUCAGCCACACUGGGACUGAGACACGGCCCAGACUCCUACGGGAGGCAGCAGUGGGGAAUAUUGGACAAUGGGCGCAAGCCUGAUCCAGCAAUGCCGCGUGAGUGAUGAAGGCCCUAGGGUUGUAAAGCUCUUUUACCCGGGAAGAUAAUGACUGUACCGGGAGAAUAAGCCCCGGCUAACUCCGUG